rnacentral:rRNA from 1 species
UACGUAGGCAGCGAGCGUUGUUCGGAGUUACUGGGCGUAAAGGGUGUGUAGGCGGUUGUUUAAGUUUGGUGUGAAAUCUCCCGGCUCAACUGGGAGGGUGCGCCGAAUACUGAAUGACUUCAAGUACGGGAGAGGUGAGUGGAAUUCCUGGUGUAGCGGUGAAAUGCGUAGAUAUCAGGAGGAACACCGGUGGUGUAGACGGCUCACUGGACCGUAACUGACGCUGAGACACGAAAGCGUGGGUAGCAAACAGG